UACGUAGGGAGCAAGCGUUGUCCGGAAUCAUUGGGCGUAAAGCGCGCGUAGGUGGCCUCGUAAGUCCGCUGUGAAAGUCCAAGGCUCAACCUUGGAAAGCCGGUGGAUACUGUGGGGCUAGAGUCCGGAAGAGGCGAGUGGAAUUCCUGGUGUAGCGGUGGAAUGCGCAGAUAUCAGGAGGAACACCAAUAGCGAAGGCAGCUCGCUGGGACGGUACUGACGCUAAGGCGCGAAAGCGUGGGGAGCGAACAGG
rnacentral:rRNA from 1 species